UUCCCCUCUUUAGACAUUCUUUUUCCACUCUUAAAUCCUCUCUUACCUUGUCUUUUAUUUAUAGUUAGAAGCUUGGAGAUCUCUUCCCCAUCCCUUAUGAAGGUUUUUCUUGAGUUUUAAGGAGCUUGAAGGAGAAAAAGGGUUGAUUUGAAGCAAAGAGCUAACCAAGGACUUGCAUUCAAGGAAGCAAAAUUGUGAAAGUUGCUUUUGCAGGUAGUAAGUGAGGAGGUGCGGCUGCGUGCUGAGCAUUUGCUACCUCCCAAUCUUCUGUAUAUCUUUUCAGUUCAUGUAUGUUUAUUUUUGGUCAUGCACAUGUGUGUUUGAGUCUUGUAUCAACAAGUAUGUAUAGAACUCUGUUGCAUGGUGUUGUAUUUAAACAACUCUUAAACUCUUAGUA